rnacentral:rRNA from 1 species
AUUGAACGCUGGCGGCAGGCCUAACACAUGCAAGUCGAACGGUAACAGAAAGCAGCUUGCUGCUUUGCUGACGAGUGGCGGACGGGUGAGUAAUGUCUGGGAAACUGCCUGAUGGAGGGGGAUAACUACUGGAAACGGUAGCUAAUACCGCAUAACGUCGCAAGACCACAGAGGGGGACCUUCGGGCCUCUUGCCAUCGGAUGUGCCCAGAUGGGAUUAGCUAGUAGGUGGGGUAACGGCUCACCUAUGCGACGAUCCCUAGCUGGUCUGAGAGGAUGACCAGCCACACUGGAACUGAGACACGGUCCAGACUCCUACGGGAGGCAGCAGUGGGGAAUAUUGCACAAAGGGCGCAAGCCUGAUGCAGCCAUGCCGCGUGUAUGAAGAAGGCCUUCGGGUUGUAAAGUACUUUCAGCGGGGAGGAAGGGAGUAAAGUUAAUACCUUUGCUCAUUGACGUUACCCGCAGAAGAAGCACCGGCUAACUCCGUG